rnacentral:rRNA from 1 species
CCUACGGGAGGCUGCAGUGGGGAAUAUUGCACAAUGGACGAAAGUCUGAUGCAGCAACGCCGCGUGGAGGAUGACACAUUUCGGUGCGUAAACUCCUUUUAUAUAAGAAGAUAAUGACGGUAUUAUAUGAAUAAGCACCGGCUAACUCCGUGCCAGCAGCCGCGGUAAUACGGGGGGUGCAAGCGUUACUCGGAAUCACUGGGCGUAAAGAGCAUGUAGGCGGAUUAAUAAGUUUGAAGUGAAAUCCUAUAGCUUAACUAUAGAACUGCUUUGAAAACUGUUGAUCUAGAAUGUGGGAGAGGUAGAUGGAAUUUCUGGUGUAGGGGUAAAAUCCGUAGAGAUCAGAAGGAAUACCGAUUGCGAAGGCGAUUUACUGGAACACAAUUGACGCUGAGAUGCGAAAGCGUGGGGAGCAAACAGGAUUAGAUACCCCAGUAGUC